rnacentral:misc_RNA from 1 species
UUUCCGUAGGUGAACCUGCGGAAGGAUCAUUCAUAAUAAAGUGUUUUAUGGCACUUUUUAAAAAUCCAUAUCCUCCUUGUGUGCAAUGUUAGAUCUCGUCAAUCUUGGCGAGAUUUUUAUACAUCAACUCAUUCUUUAACUAAUUUGUCUGAAAAAUAUUAUGAAUACUUAAUUCAAAAUACAACUUUCAACAACGGAUCUCUUGGCUCUC